rnacentral:misc_RNA from 1 species
GAUGAAGAACGUAGCGAAAUGCGAUAAGUAAUGUGAAUUGCAGAAUUCAGUGAAUCAUCGAAUCUUUGAACGCACAUUGCGCCCGCCAGUAUUCUGGCGGGCAUGCCUGUUCGAGCGUCAUUUCAACCAUCAAGCCCCCGGCUUGUGUUGGGGACCUGCGGCUGCCGCAGGCCCUGAAAACCAGUGGCGGGCUCGCUAGUGACUCCGAGCGUAGUAAUACAUCUCGCUCAGGGCGUGCUGCGGGUUCCGGCCGUUAAAAAGCCUUAUUUACCCAAGGUUGACCUCGGAUCAGGUAGGAAGACCCGCUGAACUUAAGAAUAUCAAUAAGCGGAGGA